rnacentral:ncRNA from 1 species
ACGGGGUGCUGACUUAGGUUGGCUGAGAUUAUACCCAUAGAACUUGAUGCAGGUAAUGCUGUCGCAAGGAACGAGUUAA